rnacentral:lncRNA from 1 species
UUUCCAGCCACCGUUUGUUAUGGAGAAGUGGAUUGUAGGAAUUGUGAAAAACCUGACCGUGGAGUGCACUGUCACGUAUGAGAAUGAUGUGAGAACUCCAAAAAUCACAAAACAUGUCCAUUCGAUUCAGUGGAGCAGAACCAAGCCUCAGGAUGAGGUGAAAGCUGUCCAGCUGUCCAUCCAGACCUCGCUCCCCAACACAGAGGGCAAUCCUGGCAGCAGGUCCAACUCAAGUGCUGACUGCCACUGGUUAGACACACUGAGGAUGCGGCAGAUUGCAUCCAACACUUCUCUGCCGUGUUCCCAGAGCAAUCCUAUUCUGGGGUCAUCCUUCUUCCCAUACUUUGACAACCAGGAUUCCUACGCUGCGGCUGUGAGGCGGACCCAGGGGCCCAUUAAGUAUCAACAGAUUACGCCUAUCAACCAGUCCAGAAGCUCCUCCCCAACUCAGUAUGGGCUGACUAAAAACUUCUCCUCUCUGCAUCUCAACUCCAGGGACAGUGGCUUCUCCAGUCUCAACACUGACAGCUCUACAGAGAGGGGCCGCUACUCAGACAGAAACAGGAACAAAUAUGACCGAGGUAGUUUAUCCCUCAAUUCUUCUCCUAGAGGAAGAUACAGUGGGAAAAGUCAGCAUUCCACUCCUUCAAGAGAAAGAUAUUCUGGAAAGUUCUACAGGUUGUCCCAGUCAGCACUUAGUCUUUACCAGUCACCUGACUUCAAGAGAAAACCAAGUGAACUCCGCGUACCCAGAACCAUCCCAGGGAUGCCCUUGCACCCUGAGUCUGACUCCAAAGCCAGUGAAGAGGAAAGCAAAGUGAGCGAAGGAGGAUGGACUAAGGUGGAAUACCGCAAGAAGCCCCACAGGGCCUCCCCUGCCAAGACUAACAAAGAAAGGGCCAGAGGAAACUACCGUGGGCGGAGGAACUUUUGAUGAAUUGACCUAGGCCCAGAGUUUUCUGAACAGAUGUUUCUUGCAAAGGAUUUUCAUAACAGGAUGUCUUCAGACUCAGUUACCAAACUCACAGCAACUCUUCCACGUUUUGGAUUGGGAAAUACCUUCUAAAUGAAACUACUGCCAAACCAGGGCCAAAAUUAUGGAUGUCGGCUGCCUAGUAGUGGUAACUAGACUUGAAACUCUUGUUGGAGAAGGGACUCUGCCAUCUCUUUACCCUAAGCACUGACAUUCUGGUUAGCAGGACUGAGACCUGGGAGAGGAAGUGAGGUCAACAACAAAAAAUCAGAAUUCUAGAUAAAGACAGGAACAGUAAUAUUGAAUUUUUCCUUCUGUUAAAAGCUCCUGUAUGGCUCAGCAAGACACCAUUACUGACCUU